CGACACCUCUGUCGGCGACGGCUGGAAGGCAACCGGGUCGCCGUCUCCACCCGGGCUCGGGGCCGCCGCCACCGUCACCAGCAGGCAUUCAUUCCCCACAUCCGCCGCCAUCAUAGUCGCAGCCCGCGCUGACACACGGAGAUGACAUUAACCAGUCUUGACUCUUGAAUCUUGGAUCCUGCCUUCUCCCUGUAAUUUUUGACACAUGGGUUCAUAUCAGAUGCUACAUGUCCUGCUGCAUUUCUCCAGCAUUUUGUCUGUAUUGCUCUGGAUUUCCAGUAUCGGCAGAAUCUUACAGACCUGAAGAAAGAAGGCAGGUUUCUUAAGUUGAAUUGAUUUUAUCUUGGUGUUUGAACAGUUCAUUAAGUGCUGUUAUAGUUAAAAUGGCAUCCUUCUUCAAGAUUCCUACAAGCACACAAUGUCUGCAAAAUUUCUGUAUAGGACUCUUUCAGCAUGGGGAUUAUUGCUUUUCUCCUUGGCAGAAAUAUAUUAUUUUGUUAGGGCAUGGGAACAGAAUUUUGCCAUUUAGCCUAUCAUCUGCUCCUCCAUUCCAUCAUUGCUAAUUUAUUAUCUCUCUCAACCCCAAUCUCUUGCUUCUCCCCAUAACCUUUGGCACCCUAACUAAUCAAGAACCUCCCAACAACUGCUUUAAAUAUACUUAAUGACUUGGUUUCCACAGCUGUCUGUGACAAUGAAUUCCAUAGUUUUCUGCGCUCUUCCUGAAUAAAUCCCUCCUCAUCUCUGAUCGAAAUACACAGCCCUUGAUUCUGAGGCUAUGCGCUCUGGUCCUAGACUCACCUGCUAUAGGAAACCACCUCCCCACAUCCACUGUCUAGGUAUUUUACUACUCAGGAGGUUUCAAUGAGAUCUCCGUCAUUCUUCUAAACUCCGGUGAGUACAGGCUCAGAGACAUCAAAUGUUCCUUGUACAUUAGCCCUUUGAUUCCUGGAAUCAUUCUAAUGAACCUCCUCUGGAUCUACUCCAAUGCUAGCAAACCUUUCCUUAGAUAAUGGGUCCAAAAGUAAUUACAAUACUCCAGCUGCAGUCUGACCAAUGCUUUAUAAAGCCUCAGCAUCACAUCCUUGCUCUUAUAUUCUAGUCCUCUCAAAAUAUUGCAUAUUGCUAACAUUGCAUUGCCUUCCUUUCUACAAACUCAACAUGUAAGUUAACAUUUGGGGAAUCCUACACAAUGACUCUGACAUCCCUUUGGACCUCCUAUUUUUGAAUUUUCUUCCCCUUGUGAAAAUAGUCUAUGCUUUUAUUCCUUCUACCAAAGCGCAUGGCCAUACACUUCCCUAGACUAUAUUCUAACUGUCACUUGUUUGCCCAUUCUCCCAAUUUACCCAAAUCCUUCUGCAGAUUUCCUGCUUCCUCAACACUACCUGCCCCUCCACCUACCUUUGUAUUGUCUGCAAACUUGGCCACAAAACCAUGAUUUCCAUCAUCUAAAUUAUUGACAUAAAACAUAAAAAGCAGUCAACUCAGACUCCUGAGGAACAACACGUGUCACCACCAGCCAACCACAAAAGGACCCAUUUCUUCCCAUUCUUUGCCUCCUGCCAGUCAGCCAAUCUUCUAUCCAUGCAAGUAUCUUUCCUGUAGUACCAUGGGCUGUUAACAUGUUAAGCAGUGUCAUGUGCAGGACCUUAUUAAAAACAAUUGAAAAUCUAAGGGAGCAACAUCCACUGGCUCUCUUAUCCAUCCUGCCUGUUACUUCAAAGAAUUCCAACAGAUUUGUUAGGCAAGAUUGCCUGUUAAGGAAACCAUGCUGACUUUGGCCUAUUUUAUUUAUUGUGUGCUUCCAAGUACUCUGAAACCUCAUCCUUAAUUCAUCAACUGCAACAUAUUCCCUUCUUAAAGAAUGAAGUGACAUUUGCAAUUUUCCAGUCCUCUGGAACCAUUCCAGAAUCUAGAGAUUAUUGAGAGAUCAUUACUAAUGCCACGACAAUCUCUUCAGCUAACUCUUUCAGAACAUUGAGGUGUACUCCACUUGGUCCACAUAAUUUAUUUAUCUUCAGAACUUUCAGCUUCUCAAGCACUUCCUUCUGGAUAUAUAUAGCAUAAUGAAAAUUCAAUUUGUUUCAAAGUAACUAGAAAAAAAGUUCAAAGUCAAUUUAUUAUAAAGUACAUACAUGUCAGCAUAUACAAUCCUGAGAUUCAUUUUCUUGCAGGCAGUCUUCUCCCUGCUACCAUCAGGAAGAAGGCACAUCAAUGGUUGACCCCAGCUAACAGAGGGCUCACAUUAAAUAUUCUCACACCAUUCUCUGUAAACUCCAGAGGCUGCUGUGUAUGAAAGUACACAGCAUUUCUGAGAUACUCAACAAUCAUUCAAUGCUCAAAAUCACUUAGAUCAUAUUUCUUCCCCAUUCCAAUGUUUGGUCUGAACAAUAUUUGAACCUCUUGAUCGUGUCUGCAGGCUCUUAUGCAUUAAGUUGCUGUCUUGUGGUUGGCUGAUUAGAUAUUUGCAUAGGCAAGCAGCUGUACAGGUGUACCUAAUAAA